CAAUAAUAAAAUAAUAAUAAAAAGAAAAGAAGAAGAAGAGAGAGAAAAUAAUUAAAAAAAAUGUGGGACCCACUGAAUUUUUAUAAAAACUCACCUGUUCCUUCAUUUCUUCAUUCCUUCUUUCGUGCGUGAGCUUCGGCAGAGAGAGCAUCUGUGAGCCAAAUUCACCGGUGCUGGGUUUUAAGGAGAAGAGCCAAGAGUGACACGUGGAGGAGUCCCAGAGGCUUAGUGGUAUAGAUCCACUGUCUCUUUUGGGUAUUUAAUUUAUGAUUUAUAAUGUGUUAUAUUGCCAAUAUUAGGACUUUUUUAUGUUUAUUGUCAAUUAUAUGAAUAUAUAAAUGUAAUCAUGCCUUUCAAACUAUUUCUAUUUUUGGUACAAUUUGGAUGACUGUAAUUUUAAUAUUUGGUUUACUUUGGAUUGGUUAAAAUGGCAUGAUUAUAAGGCCAAAUAACUGGCUUGUGUUGAAAAUUGACUAAA